AUGAUUUAAUUUUUUUUUGAGAGCCACUCCAGCUUUUGUAAUUUUGGUUUCAUACGUUUUGUGAUUAACUUGUGUACUCAGCUUCUGACCUGACCCAACCCAACCCAACAUAUGCACUUUAAAAAGCAUGACCCUAGGCUUGACAAAGACCCCAGAACGGGUUGAAACAUUGCUGGGUUGCAUUGUAUGGUGGCUGAAUAAACUAGGAAUAGAAAAAAAGAAGAAGAAAAACAAUCCAG